AUGGACGUGGGAGCAUCAACUCUGUUCCUUUGGGCUUUUGAGGAGUGGGAGAAAUUGUUGAAAUUUUAUGAAAGAGUCCCGGGAGCUAGUAUGCAUGCCAGUUUCAUACGACCUAGUGGAGUGGCACAAGAUCCGCCUCUUGGCUUAUGUCGAGAUAUUAAUUCCUCCACACAACAAUUUUCUUCUUGCAUCGAUGAAUUGGAAGAGAUGUCAACCGACAACCGUAUCUGGAAACAACGAUUAAUGGAUAUUGGUACCGUCACUGCGCAGCAAGCAAAGGAUUGGGGAUUCAGUGGUGUAAUGUUAAGAGGUCGCGCGACAUGA
rnacentral:rRNA from 1 species